rnacentral:rRNA from 1 species
ACGUAGGGGGCAAGCGUUAUCCGGAUUUACUGGGUGUAAAGGGAGCGUAGACGGUAAAGCAAGUCUGAAGUGAAAGCCCGGGGCUCAACCCCGGGACUGCUUUGGAAACUGUUUAACUAGAGUGCUGGAGAGGUAAGCGGAAUUCCUAGUGUAGCGGUGAAAUGCGUAGAUAUUAGGAGGAACACCAGUGGCGAAGGCGGCUUACUGGACAGUAACUGACGUUGAGGCUCGAAAGCGUGGGGAGCAAACAG